rnacentral:rRNA from 1 species
UACGUAGGGGGCAAGCGUUGUCCGGAUUUAUUGGGCGUAAAGAGCGUGUAGGCGGUUUGGUAGGUCCGCUGUGAAAACUCGAGGCUCAACCUCGAGACGCCGGUGGAAACCAUCAGACUAGAGUCCGGAAGAGGAGAGUGGAAUUCCUGGAUGUAGCGGUGAAUGCGCAGAUAUCAGGAAGAACACCAGUGGCGAAGGCGGCUCUCUGGGCCUUACCUGACGCUGAGGAGCGAAAGCGUGGGGAGCAAACAGG